rnacentral:lncRNA from 1 species
CCCCAAAAAAAAUUUUUGGGUUCGUAUAAUGGUAUGAUGUCGUCAUCUGCGUCGUCGUCGUCCGAAGACACUUUGGUUUCCGGAUAAUAACUUUAGUUUAAGUAAAUAGAUCUUAAUGAAAUUUUUUCAGAAGGUUCAAUACCAGAAAAGGAAGGUUGGGAUUUAUUUUGGGGAUGAUGGUCCUAACCAUUUAGGAAUUAGGGGCCCAAAAGUGGCCAA